rnacentral:lncRNA from 1 species
AUGUCUUCUCACUCUGUGUUGCUUGAGCACUCUCAUGGCCUCUUGUGUUCCCCUGCAACAAGCUGUGCCAUAUAGCUGGAUUCUCAAAUCCACCCUGUGUGAUCUGCCUGCUGGAGAGUCUGGAGCCAUGGAACAACAGGGUAUGUACUACGAUUGAUUCCAGUGCAUCAUGACAUUUACAAAAGUGCUUUUUGAAAGAAGGCUACUAAGAUAGAUGAAUAGGAAUUACCUUCUGAAAGACAUACAAGUAUUUCUGUGCAUUUUGGAAUUUGGGAGGAUGUGAAAUCUGCCACCAGUUAUUAAAGUGGCAGCCCAGUGGCUGGGUCAGGUCACUGCCAGGUGCAAGGCUCAAGAUCAGGGCUGAAGGAGUGAUCCUCAGAGGUCUCCGGGAAGUGGAUUUGUGCUGACUAGAAAGCUGUCCAUAAGAGCAGAGUUGCUAUAAAGGUUUGCACCCAGUUCAAGUGAUAGCCACCACAUGUGUACAAACCAGGAGCCUCUCCUCCCAUAUGUGCAACCUCUCAAGUGAUGUCCUGGUGCCAACUCGUGCUAGAUGGAUACAUGCAGUGAAAUCUACAAAAUGUGAAUUUUCAUGCAAGUAAAAGUCACUGACCUGUUCAGUUAGCCGGAAAUUAAAUGCUACCCCUGGCCCCAGAUAGCUGGUGUUGGUCACAUUUAGCAGGAUGGCUCUGCCAUUCACAGCUGUUCUGCAGAUUGCUGGUGGCAGAUAGAUUAGGUCUUCACAGGAAGGGCUUAAUAGAUAUACGACAGGCGUAUACAGGUUUAGACAUCUGUGCAAGAAAGAAAGGCCACAGGAUAAGUAAUCUCACCCUGUGAAAGAUGGAAAGCUCUACAGAGACUUGUAACAGAAACAGCCCAGACAAGUAUAAUUUAACAGGGGAAACACAGAGAUAGGACAAUGUAGGGGGACUGCACCAGAGAUGAGGUAGGAGCAUGGCUUGUUUCUGCUUGCUGAUCUCACUCUGGCUGGCUGCAAAACUCCAUCAGCUUGUCCUCUGCAUGGACGGGCAUUGAUUUGCUCUGCCUUCCCUAGCCUCAACUGAAAAAGUUAUUAGUCUCUACUUUAAACGGCACCCGAUUUCUCCCCUCUUUCAUAUCCCACUGAGGAAAAUGUCUCCAGGUAUUUUUGUAUUUUAUGCUCCCAUUCAUACUCUUAAAAUACAGUCAAUCCUACUGGCUUAUAACUACCCCUGGUGUAAAUAAAAACUGAUUUGAAGACAGCUGCCCCAUCCACCCUGAUAAAACAAAUCACCACCACUACCAAGAGCAACAGCAAUGACCGCCAUCAUCAAAACUGUCAAUCACACAUGGUAAGAAGCAGAAGAGGAAUAUUCAGUACAGAAAUAAGUGAAGCAGUUGUGAUUUAUCAGGGUAGAUGUAAUCAGAAUAUUUGCAUAAGAGCUAAUGAUUUUCAGCAUUAGCCCUUUUAUUUGAGCAGCAUGUAGUCACCUAUAAUAAAUAUUUGUACUACACAGAGAUGAAGAAUUUUAAAGGACAAUUUAAGUUUACGUUUUCUAGUUCUUUUGGAUUCAAGUCUUGAGCUUUUGCAUUUUCUUUAUUCGCACUAGUGCUAGAGGACUGUAAAAGUGCAGAUAUCAUAAGUCCUAGCCUAGAUUAAAUAUUACAUUUCAUGUCUGUAAACCAUCCUAAAAGAUAAACUCCUAUAUCUUACUUAUUUGAAAUAUCUUCUAACAUUGUGUUCUUGCAAAUCCUCAUAUUUGAAGUGUCUAUGAGUGCUUCAGAAGAUGAAGCUCCCAAUAUAGCCAACACAAAGACAGAAAUGCUUCUUCUGAGAGCAAUUCAGGACUCUGCAGUUAAGAUCUAUAGUUGAUAAGACAUGGUCCUGAAGUUUAGCUGUCCAAAGGUAGACUAUCCUUCACCUAUGUGUCAAAUAAAGAAAAAAAAAAACAACCUAAUUUUGGCAUUGUAAAAUUCCAGUGAAAUGAAUAGCAGGCCUGUGAAUAGUUUUAUCUACGUAGUCGUUUCUGUUACCAAGCGUGAUGAGUACUGCUAAAUGAAUAAUAGAAAUAUAACUGUGCUGUCUUCAUGUAAUAGAAAUAUAAAAGGGAUAUCACCUUCUUAAAACAAAGGCAGAAUAUUAAUGGAGUGAAUUAGGGAUGUAAUGCUGAACUUAUAAACAUGUGGGUACUGAGAUGACAAUACAUUAUUAUUGCAGCAUAAUUCUAUGUUCUACGUAUACUGUUAAUGCCCCAACUCAGACAGUGUCCAAGGCCAGGCUGGAUGGGGCUUUCUUUGGGCAAUGGAAUGUGCCCCCGCCCAUGGCAGUGGGGUAGGAACCCAAUGUCUUUAAAGUCCCUUCCAGUUGAAAUCAUUCUAUGAGAUAGAACUUGCGGUUCUGUGUGAAGUAUGGAAUUGAGAAUGUCAGCUCUGUAAACUGGAGUAGAAGUAGCUCCUGUGGAAAUUUCUUUCUCUGAUAUCUUUAGUGGCUUGCAACUGUCUUCUGGGUUGGUUUGUUAUAUCAUCUAUUACCUUAGUGUAAACUUCUUCUGUUGUUGUUGUUUGUUAGUUAGCUUUCCACUUACUUCUGCUUGAUCCAGAGCAGGUACACUGCUUGUCCAUGGAGAAGCUGCAAGGUCAAUCGUACCUUUACAGUACUGGUAUGAAAUUUGUCUUCCCAGAGAAUUAACCCUGGAGAGGCUCCUCAGAUCUCUCUGAUAAACCAUUAGCAAUUAUACAUAAUGUAAAACAUGCUGCAAUACCAAUAAAUAUCCAUUCUUGGCCUGAAAUAUACACUGAAGGCUGGAUACAUCAAGACAUCAAUAUAAACCAAGGUUGGAUGUGUCUGGGCAGCCCAGUCUAGUGAAUGGCAGCCCAGCACACAGCAUUGUGGUUGAAACUAGAUGAUACUUGAAGUGCUUUUCAACCCAGGCCAUUCUGUGAUUUAAGUGAAGCACUGAAUCAAAAGCAAGUAUCCUCCAAAACUAUCUAAUCCGAAUAAACUCAGUGUACUUUACAAGGUGUUUUUCCUCCAAACCACAAGUAGCAACAAGGGAUGCAGAACUGUUCCACCCCAGGAAAACCAUCAUCUUGUCUUUAAGGUAAAAUCUGAAUUUGGUACCUAGCAUUGGCUGCAUGAUUCUCAGACUUGAGGUGCACUGGCUGAGUGGAAAGCUACUUCAGAAACUUGCGGCAAAAUCCACAGCUCAAAAUCAUAUGAAUUUAAAUUUAUCUUUACAUGAACAGAAAUGGCAAAGCAUUGUGCAUUCCUAAAGAACAAGUCCCAGUUCUCCAUCUCAGAGGAAGAAGAGGUAAAUAGAGCAGCUGCAGCUUCCUGACUCUUUUAAGAACAAAUUCUCCAAAAGUGGUUGGGUAGGUAAGUGGAUGUGCGGUUUUGAGGCUCCGCCUGUUUGCACAGGAAAAUGUUUUCAAGAAGAACUGACAGAUAGGAGCCUGUGCAAAGAGGUGUAGUAUUUCCAAUACCACUAUAAGUAGUAGAAAAGAGAAACUACAGCAAUUUCUGGCACAGAAUUUCUGGAGUUUAUAAUCAAAGUCCUUAUUCAUUUGGUGAGUUUAUUAGAGCACGCCAUUAGUCUGUGUUUAGGCUGGAAAGCUGAAUGAUAAUCAGUCCUUCAACAAAAUGCAUUUCUCAUGGCAUGAGGGGAAAGUGUCUCUAACCCGGCAAGUAUGCAGUGUAGGCUGAAGCAGUGAAGCAUUGGUUUUCUGGAAGCGCACAAGAGCUCCUGGCUGCACUCUGUGCCUCUAAAGAAUACAUUAGAGCUGCACUCCACAAAAGGGGGCACCUCCAGAGAUAGCAGCCCUGUUAAUUACACUGAUGUUUUCUAUUGCCUUCAUUCCAUGGGCGUAUGAGGAAGCAAUGACAGAUGGGCAAGCACAAAAGCUGUGAAAAGUCAGCGAUGCUUGGGGUUUCUGCAAGUGUGAUAAUGACCUCAAGAUGAUCUGACUUUUAUUGAGAGGCUUGUUUUGUAAUUGUCAUCACCAUAGUCUCACAUCAGAAAAGGCUUGCUUUUUUUAUUUAUGCAUCUUUGCUUCCUCUCUUGUAUUUUGUCAGUCACAUUUCCCAUAUUUGUAAGCAACAGAAAUUGCAAAACUAACAUUAAUUCCCUUUGUGUCUGACAACUGGUGAAAGAGCUGGUAAGAAGUAUUUGAGAUUCCUCUGAUGAUUUGGGGGGAAUCUCAUUUCAGGUUUCUCAUCUGUAAAAACAUUCAGUUUCAUAGAAAUGUUGUUUUGUGUUUUUUUUUUUAAUGAAUGGUGAUGUGCAUGUGGAGAGUGUUUAUUAUGAUUGUUCUUAGAAGCUUUAUAUUUUAAUGGCUUAGAAUACAAUCAGAAAAGCUACCCCUUUCUCAGGUAAAUUUAUUUGAUGCAUCUGAAUCUGUAUGGAAUACCUUUAAGAACACGAACUUACAUAAUGAACUUGUAUUUUGUCUGAAAAUUGAUUAAAAAAUAGUAGUAAUGCAA